AGCACGCACAGGGGAGCGUCCCUGCGGGGAAGCGGCCUCUUUACCCUCCCUUCUCGGCUCCUCCCUGCUGCGCUGCUCUCAACCCCGCUGGAGGCACAGCACCCGCAUAGGCAGCAGCUGAACUCCAACCACAGUGGAACGGAGACCUCAGCAAAGGACCAGCAAGAAAAGGGGCCGGAAUUGAGCGCCAUAAUCCCAGAUUUCGGGGGAAUCACAUUUAUCAACCAUCCACAAGUGUCUGCCUGCUUGGGGAGGAGGAUGAAGAGGCACUGUUUGACAAGAGUUGAAGUGACAGAGUGUAAAGAUAUUAAAUCAGGUUGCAGAAUAGAUUUUUGUUUUGAUGAAAAUCCUUCUUUCUAAAAUGAAGUUUUUCUCUACAGAGAAUUUCCUAUGAAUGAGAGUAGCAGUCCAUCUUCAAAGUCCACUGAAAUCAAAUAGAAAUUUGGAAAGACUUUGACUGAAAUGUUCAAGUCAAACACAAAGUCAGCAGCAGGAAGAGACAGCAUGAGGAACCGGAACCAGAUUUAAAUCCUUAACCUGAUUUACUGACCAGUCUGAUGCAAGGGCAAAUGAGUUAGGAGAGAUCAUCAAAGAUGAAUAUUUGGCCAGUUUUAUUAAUGAAACUGUUUAAUUUCUGAGAUGGAUGAUAAAUAAGAGAAAGGAGAAGAAAAUGACAAAAAGGACUGGAAGAUAUUGAUGAAAAGGGAUGAAGAUGAAGGUGAAAAAAAUGAAGAUGAUGAUGUGGAGGAGUGAGGAUGAUGAAAGAGAUGACUGGCGGAACAGUCACUGAUGGAUUCCAAUCAUACUUUUUAAAAUUUCCUCCAAUCCCUAGGAACAAGUUGCACUUGUUUCUUAUUUCUUUCUUCUUUUUGUUCGUUGGGACCCUGUUUUUGAGGUCUCUCGUCUUUCCUUUUUACCAUGGUUCUUAACUUAUUUGAGGGUGGGGUAUAUCUUGAGCAGAAUACAGUGGGAAAUGAAUCUCUACCCCUUUCUGUUCCAAAUUCAUUUUAUCCUUUUCUGUCUUAAUAAAAACUAUGGAAUUGA